CAGUCGCCACGGUAAUACGAAGGGGGCUAGCGUUGCUCGGAAUGACUGGGCGUAAAGGGCGCGUAGGCGGAUGGUACAGUCAGACGUGAAAUUCCUGGGCUCAACCUGGGGACUGCGUUUGAGACGUGCGAUCUAGAGUUUGGAAGAGGGUCGUGGAAUUCCCAGUGUAGAGGUGAAAUUCGUAGAUAUUGGGAAGAACACCGGUGGCGAAGGCGGCGACCUGGUCCUUGACUGACGCUGAGGCGCGAAAGCGUGGGGAGCAAACAGGAUUAGAUACCCCAGUAGUCCCUGUCUCUUAUAC
rnacentral:rRNA from 1 species